rnacentral:rRNA from 1 species
GACGAACGCUGGCGGCGUGCCUAAUACAUGCAAGUAGAACGCACAGUUUAUACCGUAGCUUGCUACACCAUAGACUGUGAGUUGCGAACGGGUGAGUAACGCGUAGGUAACCUGCCUGGUAGCGGGGGAUAACUAUUGGAAACGAUAGCUAAUACCGCAUAAUAUUGAUUAUUGCAUGAUAAUUGAUUGAAAGAUGCUAUUGCAUCACUACCAGAUGGACCUGCGUUGUAUUAGCUAGUAGGAGAGGUAACGGCUCACCUAGGCGACGAUACAUAGCCGACCUGGGAGGGGGAUCGGCCACACUGGGACCGAGACACGGCCCAGACUCCUACGGGGGGCAGCCGUAGGGGAUCUUCGGCAAUGGACGGAAGUCUGACCGAGCAACGCCGCGUGAGGGAAGAAGGUUCUCGGAUCGUAAAGCUCUGUUGUAAGAGAAGAACGGGUGUGAGAGUGGAAAGUUCACACUGUGACGGUAUCUUACCAGAAAGGGACGGCUAACUACGUG